AAGAAUGACUUCUGCUGCAGACCUGGAAGACAUGGAGAAUAGUCUCCAGAGCUGAGCAGAACUGAUACUU
ensembl:miRNA